CCCCCCCCCCCCCCCCCCCCCCCCCCCCCCCCCCCCCCCCCCCCCCCCCCCCCCCCCCCCCCCCCCCGGGCGGGCUGCCGGCCACCAGCACCCCGCCGAGAAGGACGGCAGGGACAAGGGCUGCUGCGCCGCGCUGCUCCAGCACAAGACCCCCCAGGCCAUCGGCAAAGGCGUCCUGAGCCGGAGAGCGGAGAAUGAAACAGUUUUACACCAGUUCUGUUGCCCAGCAGCUGAUGCAGAGCAGAAGCCUUCAUCUCCAGACUCCUCACCAAGUGACGACCCCAGCGGUCCCAGCAGCACGAGAGCCGGCUGUGAAACGGAGGAUCCGAAGGAGGCCGGCAGACAGAGUGGCCAGGAAGGCAGGUCCGACACCCUGACGCUAAAAGCCCAGCGGGAGGAGCUCCAAGAAGAGCAGGCAGCGGGGGGUUCCCCUCUGGUGCAGAAGGCGAGCCUCCACCACACGGGCUCCCCUGUGCGAGUGCAGCGCAGCAAAGGGACGGCCUCGUGUUCCCAUGCGGCUGCCUCCGAUUAUGAGCUCUCCCUUGACCUAAAGAAUAAACAGGUACCGAGGCUUCCUCCUGCUCAGGCUGUGGGAGAAGGGGAUGGGACGGGUGGGACUGCAUUUGCACCGUGGUGGAACGACUCCCAGCAAACACAUCAGCCUUUUGUUCACCCAGAGCCUUUGCUCUGCCUGACCUGCCCUUUGGGUAUGUCAGGCUGAUGGAGGAAGUAGAUUCCCCACCUCUGG
rnacentral:lncRNA from 12 species